rnacentral:rRNA from 1 species
CUACGGGUGGCUCCAGUGGGGAAUAUUGGACAAUGGGCGCAAGCCUGAUCCAGCAAUGCCGCGUGAGUGAAGACGGCCUUAGGGUUGUAAAACUCUUUCGCUAGGGAAGAUAAUGACUGUACCUAGUAAAGAAGUCCCGGCUAACUCCGUGCCAGCAGCCGCGGUAAUACGGAGGGGACUAGCGUUGGUCGGAAUUACUGGGCGUAAAGAGUUCGUAGGCGGACUGACAAGUUAGAGGUGAAAUCCCAGGGCUCAACCCUGGAACUGCCUUUAAAACUGUCAGUCUAGAGACCGAAGAGGUUAGGGGAAUACCUAGUGUAGAGGUGAAAUUCGUAGAUAUUAGGUGGAACACCAGUGGCGAAGGCGCCUAACUGGUCCGGUACUGACGCUGAGGAACGAAAGCGUGGGGAGCAAACAGGAUUAGAUACCCCGGUAGUC